CAGGAAACUCUGGGUUAACUCAGCGAGCUGAUAACCAGCUUCCUCUGACAACUUAUCGUUAUUGGCAGUGUCAGGAGAACUGAUCUGCCUGCAUAUCUCCUGCUCCAAUCUUCUCCCACUCAACAACAUGACCCAAGGGGUCAUGGUGUGGCAGAGCCAAACCCAGCUGUCACAGGGUGAAAGGCAGGGUACACACAGGACAGGACACCAGUCUGUCACAGGGGUCACGGGGAGUCUGGAGCCUAUCCCAGGUGUCACAUGAAAGGCAGGGUACACCUGUAUGUCGCAGGGCUGUCACAUAGAGACAGACGACCUUUUAAACCUACAGCCAGUUUAGAAUCACCAGUUAACCUAAUCACAUGCAGGUUUCUGGACUGUGGGAGAAUACCCAGAGAAAGCCCACACAGACACAGGGAGAACAUGCAAACUCCACAC
ensembl:lncRNA